rnacentral:rRNA from 1 species
GACGAACGCUGGCGGCGUGCUUAACACAUGCAAGUCGAACGGAAAGGCCCUUCGGGGUACUCGAGUGGCGAACGGGUGAGUAACACGUGGGUGAUCUGCCCUGCACUUUGGGAUAAGCCUGGGAAACUGGGUCUAAUACCGGAUAGGGCCACGGCAUUCAUGUGCUGUGGUGGAAAGCUUUUGCGGUGUGGGAUGGGCCCGCGGCCUAUCAGCUUGUUGGUGGGGUAAUGGCCUACCAAGGCGACGACGGGUAGCCGGCCUGAGAGGGUGACCGGCCACACUGGGACUGAGAUACGGCCCAGACUCCUACGGGAGGCAGCAGUGGGGAAUAUUGCACAAUGGGCGCAAGCCUGAUGCAGCGACGCCGCGUGAGGGAUGACGGCCUUCGGGUUGUAAACCUCUUUCGCCAGGGACGAAGCGCAAGUGACGGUACCUGGAGAAGAAGGACCGGCCAACUACGUG